UAUGGAGGGUGCAAGCGUUAUCCGGAUUCACUGGGUUUAAAGGGUGCGUAGGUGGGCAGGUAAGUCAGUGGUGAAAUCUCCGGGCUUAACCCGGAAACUGCCAUUGAUACUAUCUGUCUUGAAUACCGUGGAGGUGAGCGGAAUAUGUCAUGUAGCGGUGAAAUGCUUAGAUAUGACAUAGAACACCAAUUGCGAAGGCAGCUCACUACACGAAUAUUGACACUGAGGCACGAAAGCGUGGGGAUCAAACAGG
rnacentral:rRNA from 1 species